rnacentral:lncRNA from 1 species
AGAUACGAAAUAUUAAAAAAAAAUCAAGAAAGAAUAAAUAAUGAAAUAUAUAAAUAUUUUCGGGGUACCUGCAUUCAUGGAUGAAGGCGGAGCGAAGAUAUUUGUUAAUGUCGAGAUCGUAUUAAAAAAAAGAAAGGUAAAAUUUCAAAAAAAACACUCAUUGGUUUCGUACUUUUUUAUUUUAGUACCAUGUGGUUUAAAGUGUAUCAAGUUAGUACCAUGUGGUUUCGCACUUUCUCACUUUAGUAUCCUGUGGUUUAAAGUGUAUCAAGUUAGUAUUAUGUGAUUUUAUUUUUGUAUCAAGUUAGUACCUUAUGAUUUUAUUUUUGUAUCAAGUUAGUAUUCUGUAAUUUUAUUUUUCUCUUAAUAAAAUAUUAAACCACAUGGUACUAAAGUGAGAAUGUGCGAAACCAUAGAAUACUAACUGGAUAUACUUUAAACCAUAUAGUACCAAAAUAAAAAAAUGCAAAACCAUAGGGUACUAAUUUGAUAUACUUUAAAUCAUAGGGUAAGUAAAAAAGAGUAAAACCACAAGAAGGGUUUUCCCAAAAAUAUAUACUCGCCCUCUAUUUAUA